UGCUGGACUGGAGGAUCCACACUGCAGACUGGAGAAACUCAAGUGUAUCCCUCAAUGACUGUCUGUUCUUCUGCUUACCGCUACAGUGUGGAACAUGGUGGAGUGAACACAAUGAAACCUGGACUUAGAAAAUAUGUCUGUGAUCUCACACUGGACCCAAACACAGUAAACAGAUGCCUCUCUCUGUCUGAGGAGAACAAAAAGGUGACAUGUAGGAGAGAGAAGCAGCCGUAUCCUCAUCACCCAGAGAGAUUUGAGGUCUGGAGACAGGUGCUGUGUAGAGAAGGUCUGACUGGGCGCUGUUACUGGGAGGUAGAGUGGAGUGGGAGGGCUAAUAUAGGAGUGACAUGUAAAGGAAUCGGCAGGAGAGGAAAGCUUAAUGACUGUU